CCUACGGGAGGCAGCAGUGAGGAAUAUUGGUCAAUGGGCGUAAGCCUGAACCAGCCAAGUCGCGUGAGGGAUGAAGGUUCUAUGGAUCGUAAACCUCUUUUAUAAGGGAAUAAAGUGUGGGACGUGUCCUGGUUUGUAUGUACCUUAUGAAUAAGGAUCGGCUAACUCCGUGCCAGCCGCCGCGAUUAUACGGAGGAUCCGAACGUUAACCGGAUUUAUUGGGUUUAAAGGGUGCGUAGGCGGCCUUUUAAGUCAGCGGGGAAAGUCUGUGGGCCAACCAUCGUAUUGCCGUUGAAACUGGGAGGCUUGAGUAUGUUUGAGGCAGGCGGAAUGCGUGGUGUAGCGGUGAAAUGCUUAGAUAUCACGCAGAACCCCGAUUGCGAAGGCAGCCUGCCAAGCCAUGACUGACGCUGAUGCACGAAAGCGUGGGGAUCAAACAGGAUUAGAUACCCCGGUAGUC
rnacentral:rRNA from 1 species